rnacentral:rRNA from 1 species
GAUUAACGCUAGCGGCAGGCCUAAUACAUGCAAGUCGAACGGCAGCGGGUGUAGCAAUACAUGCCGGCGAGUGGCGCACGGGUGCGUAACGCGUAUGGCAAUCUACCUGUAACUGGGGAAUAGCCUUCCGAAAGGAAGAUUAAUACCGCAUAAUAUCAUGAAGUGGCAUCAUUUUAUGAUCAAAACUCCGGUGGUUACAGAUGAGCAUGCGUGACAUUAGCUAGUUGGUGAGGUAACGGCUCACCAAGGCUACGAUGUCUAGGGGGUCUGAGAGGAUGAUCCCCCACACUGGUACUGAGACACGGACCAGACUCCUACGGGAGGCAGCAGUAAGGAAUA